GAUGAACGCUGGCGGCGUGCCUAAUACAUGCAAGUCGAGCGAACAGACGAGGCGCUUGCUCCGCGGACGUUAGCGGCGGGCGGGAGAGUAACACGUGGAUAAUCUACCUGUAAGACUGGGAAAACUUCGGGAAACCGGAGCUAAUACCGGAGAAUAUAUUGAACCGCAGGGUUCAAUAGUGAAAGACGGUUUUGCUGUAACUUAUCGAGGGAUCCGCGCCGUAUUAGCGGGUUGGUAAGGUAACGGCCUACCAAGGCAACGAGGCGUAUCCGACCGGAUUGGGGGAUCGGCCACACGGGAGCUUGAACGGGGUCCAUACGCCUACGGGAGGCAGCAGAAUGGAACCUGCCGCAACGGUCGAAAGCCUGACGGAGCAACGGCGCGUGAGUGAUGAAGGUCUUCGGAGCGUAAAACCCGGUUACUGGGUAUGAACAAAUGUGGAAUGAACUAAGCACGUCGUGACGGUACCUAAUCAGAAAGCCCCGGCUAACUACGUG
rnacentral:rRNA from 1 species